GGAGUCGCCCGUGCCGCCUGCCGACGGCCAGGAUGCCGGCCUGGUCGCACCGCUCGCCCAGCAAGAGGACGAGGGCACGGCGCCGCCCUCCCCGUCGGCGGGGCCCUCGUCGGUGGUGGUGCCCUCCGCGGCGCCCUCCGCGGUGCCUUCCGUGGCCCCCACCCCGGCGGGGCCCUCCACCUCGGCCGCCUCAGAGCCUCCCGGGGGCACCCCAGGGCCCUCCAGCACCACGACGCCCACCACGGUGGUAAAGCCGCUGCCGCCUCCGCUCGCAGCCACCAAGAGCGAGGAGAGGGCCUCUGUUGAGCGAGGCUCCUCGCAGGAAGGCAAGGUCAACGAGAUCUGUCCCUGGGAGGAUCAAGAGGACUGCAAGGUGGACGAGCCGUUUACUAAGAAAUACUCCCAUUUUGGAUACUUGUAACACAUUUGGCCUUUAAAGUUAUUGAUUCUUUUAUAUGUAAGUUGGACUUAUGUACCUUUUUAAAUGUUUCAAAGGAUUGGUUGUGAAAGUUAUUUACGUACACAAUGCUGUGAACAAUCAAGUAACACAGAGCCGUUCUGUGAGAGCAAGAGAAUGUUACCCCGUUAUCACGGAGUUAACGUGGUCACCAUCUUAAAGCGUUUUUGUGCAGUUUUAAAGGAGUUUUUCUAAAGAAUUUUGUUUGCCAAUGGUUAACGAGUUAAAGGAGAGUUCAUAGACAUAUGUGGAAGAAAAGCGGGUUGGCGUUUCGCUUUUGGCUUCGUAUCUAACCUGAAGACAGUGGUUGAGAAAGUAGAUUGAAAAUUCAGCGCUGAUGGAGUCUUUUUAGAAGCACGAUGACUGCUAAUGGAGGCAACACUUAACCACAUCGGUGACUUGCUUGACGUCCGAUAAAACUUCCCCUCUCAUUCCUAGGGACUAUGCUGGUUUGUCCGAGGAGUAUUUCGUCUCACAUCAAAUUUUGCAAAUGUGUCGUUUCUGUUUCGCUCAAUGUCCCCUCACCGUUCCCUCAAAGCUAGGCCAGCAGUGAAGCUGUGGAGCCGCGGAGCUCGGCGGCCGGAGCGCGCUUUGCCAGGGCGCCGACAAACCUGAGCCCUUGCUCGGCAUGCCCUCACGAAGCGGGGCGAUGGCCGCCGGGCGGCUCCUCGGGAGACCUGCUUCGCUGCUCGCCAGCUGACAGCAAUAAGGCAGCCGUUCCUUUAUCGUAUUACUACUGUUAUCGUUACUAACAUUAAUAUCGUCGUUAUUUACUUACUAUAACUUUGGGAAGAAGCUAGGGUGGCUUUGCGCGUGAGCACAGUUAUUAUUACCUCUGUAUAGUUCGCACGUUUUGAAGUAUUUAUAUGAGUGUAUUCUAGCGGUAGCCGCGUGUGUUGUUUCGUAGGUGCAAGUUACGCACGUAUGUCCUCUGGUUGUCACUUUUAUUCAUUCAUUGUUUUCCCCCGUAACCAAUGGGCGAGGGUGGCGUCCACAGCGCCCUCUUGUGAACGACGUGCAACCCCCUCACACGGGUCGAUUGCCGUUUCCUAUCUCGUCCGCGCUGCUUCUCGAUCUGUGCCACGCUGGCGUUCGUGCGCGGCGCCAGAACAUAAGUCGAACGGAGAAGACAACGCGGAGACGACGACCUGCUCAAGUCGUAUGUGGAGGGCAGGUUGACUCUGUCAACGAGAAACGCGACGUCCAUUAGUCGGGCUUUGACCGCGUGAAUCUUACUUGGAGUAGAAGUCUUGGCAAGGUUCUGUUAGGAUUUGAUACCUCUCUCUUAUAAUAAAAUUGACAAGUAGCUCUAUAUUAUUUCCUACAAACUUCAUGUUUGUCUUUAGUAUAGAUAACUUUAUUCGUUAUUUCGCUUUCUUAUCGACCUUAUGAAUAUUAAUAACACAAUACCAUUCUACAUUUAUCAUUAUACCAUGUGUGUAAUAUUAAUGCAUAUAUUAACCCAUCUUAUCUAGUUUGUAAGAAAAUUUUCUUCUGGAAUGUCUGCCUUACUGCGAUUGCAAUUUAUAUCACUUCGGAUUCCCUCUGUGGAACUGUCAAUAGUCGCCCUACGAGUCUAUUUUUAAGCAAUUAAGCAGUCAUCGCGCUGAAAGUUGAAAAUGCACAAGUAAUGAACUCUCUACAGACAAUAUUCCAUGCGAGGUUCUUUUAAUUCUGUGUUUAACUGUCAAAAUCUUAGAAAGCAUUUUCUUUGUAAACUUACAAGGAGUCUGAUUUCUUUGUAUGACAAAGCAAUGCUUUGUAUUGCGAAGUACCAGUAUUUUUCUUCCAAAGAAAUAUGUUUCGUAUUACAAAUCAGUGCUUUGCAAGCUACGAAGCCGGUCCUUUGUAACACAGUGCAUCUGUUUCUUUGUAGCUUACAAAGAAAAUCCUUUGUAAUUCAAAGCAAUGCUUUAUAGAUUUUUUACAGUAAAUGCCUCAUUGCACUCAAAAUGAAACUGCAUCAAACCGUGAACCUUGAUGUGACUUCAUGGCUAUCACGUUAACGCUCUUCUACAUAAAAGCAAACUUUUUUUUGGCUGAAUCAGAAUCGACAACGAUGAAAUGUGUGCCCUUUUUAAUAAAGUCCCGGCUCACAACGUCAUUAUGGAAUGUGUGAAGAUAUGAAACUGCCGUCCUGGCUGUUUUCGUCAAGAACUGUGUUACUUGAGACGGGAGCCACAAACUUGUGAAUUCUUUUGUUUUUAAAUGAAAUCUCAUCGGUGCUUUUGACUUGUAAGUAUAGCGUGAUAUAGAACAAAAAGCAUCAGUGAAGACAAGCUGCGCAUGUCGUAGUGCACUCACGUAAAUCAUUAGAUUCCAAACUAGUUUCCUAAAUUAUUGACGUGCACACUGUCAUUGCUGGAGUCAGUAGAGAUAUACGGGUAAUAAUUCUCUAGGAGAACAAGGUAUAACAUUUUCGGUGGUCGUAGUAGGCACGGAAGAAUGUAACGGAACUUGCGGUGGAACCAGGGCUAUGAAUAAUUUGCAUGUUUUACAACUUCACUUUGUCAGCCUGAUUCUGAAUGAAAAUUCGUUCACGUUCUGGAGGGUUGUCACUCACUUGCCAAAUGUGACUUGCGAUUGUGUAAGAGCGGUGCGAUCUAGAGAAGGAGACCAGCGCCUGCCGGGCUCCGGGUAGGGAACCCAUUCGACAGUGCUGCAGAGUGGGACAGGUCAGUUCAGCGGCACAGUGAGUGUGUGGGAGGAAGAUGUAGCACCUGACGAAUGGUCUCUGUGUGUUCAUAUGUUUGGUUGUGGAGGUUUGUGUGGUAUUUUGGUGCUUCAAUACAUCCUAUGCACGGGGAGGGCGGUGACAAUAUUUAAUUUAAACUAGGAAAUUUUUUUAAAGUGUUGCAAGUAUUUAAGUUCUUUUUGACAAAACGUGUUAUAGUUAAUUUUUGACACUUGGCAGUCGCGUGAAGCCGCAUGUAAGUCCAAGUGGAUUGGUGCUAUGGCAGAACCUUGGUGAGUGAGCAGCCGAGUGGGGUCGGACUGUCCACCGUGGACAGAACUGCUCCAUGGACCCGUGCUCCAGUUGCCAAUGGUUUUCCGCCAGACUUAGGAGCAUAUCAUUGAAAUAAAUUCUGUUGUUGUCUUGGCUGCUAAUAGGUAUCGAUGUGCUGAUCUAGUUGAAACGUUUUAAGGGUGUGGUCACUGGUUGAGAAUGAUUUUAAUGUAAACAUAUAUUUGCUUCGCCAUGUUUCCGUUUUUCAUCCAUAAAAAAUACUGUACUAGAUUUUAAGGAUCGUCAUCACUUUUUAAAUGCACAAAUACUUGAACAACUUCUUAUUACAUUUUGAUAUUAUUUUUCGCGUAGCCAAGUGCCUUUGUGUGAUACGUGUGGAGAGAGGCAUCGACGUGCUCCAAAUUACUUUAUUUUCCGGUGAUUGUUAAGCAUCAAAUAGUGGCAGAAAUACUUUGCUCGCGAUCAUGCCAUGUCAUGCACGGCAAUCUUUAAUUUUACACGUUUGCUCGACAUCAAAGUCAUUGAUCUCAUUGUAUUAAUCGGAAGAUCAACAACAGCUCUGUAGAGUUAGACCAAAGCCCAUACUUUGUUUAGGCAGCCACCGUGAAGGGAGUUUGUACCAUAGGUGACCUAGUUAAUGGUGUAAAUAUGUAUGUUGAUCGAAGUGAAGGGCAAGUAAAGUGAUUUGAAUGACCUUUCGCCGCGUCUCGGAAGAUAGCGCAGCUUCGGGUAGUUGGGGCAUUAUACUUUUUAUAUUGUUGUAUCAUAUAGUUGUUCUUUGUCGCGAUGCGUAACUAAUUUAUUUUGUAAGAUGGCCUACAUGUAUUGUGUUUGUACUUCGGUUUGUGACGACUUAAAGCUAAUGAACCAAAUGUAAUUGUUGAUAUUGCCAUUUUAGAUUAUUGUUCGUUUAUUAAUUUUCGAAGGAGGACUUCACUUUGUGUGAAAAUGUAAUGAUCGUUAUAUAGACAAAUAAGUGUGAUUCAUGUUACGAUGACUGGCCUAUUGCCUAUAUUGUUGUUCAAUCUUAUUUUUGAAGAGAUAAAAGUUACCAUUUACAGGUAUCUUUACAGUAAUCUUGUCCGUUACUACGUCUCGUAUAUUCAAGAUUUUUGUGAAUCAAAGGCGGGUUUGAAAUUUUUUUAGGGCAUUGGCUGGUUGCUGAUUUGAACAAAUGUUACUAACGCUUUGUCAGAGGGCCUCAUUAGUGGACAGUUGGUCUAAUUUGUAAUCAUCUAUAGGCAUGUCAGGAAGAGAACAUUUUGAAAAAGUUUUGAGGACGAUCUUACAAAUAUGGUUGAUAAGCUUUUAAUUAUUUUACAUUGUAACAUGAUAUCGCAGGAACAGAUGACCUGCCAUCAUCGGACAUUCGCAGCGCGGCCUCUUAUCACUCCAACGGUUACUGACUCCAUUAAAGGCUUUUUUGUGAGGCAAGUUACAAAUAAAUACUGAAGUUGUUAUUUUUAUUUUGUUUGUAUGAAUGUAUGUAUGAAAUUAAAAAAUCACAAACAGUGGGUUAGUAACUGGAGUGAUAUUAGGAUGAAGUGAAAGGGGUCGAAUUGUAGAGCUAUAAUCGGCCAUGAUACCGUCUAAUGACUAAAUGACUAGAAACUAGUUUUAAGUGUCGCCGGGAGUUUGUUCAGCCGAAAAGCAUUUGUUUAGUGAUAGAUGUGCUCUGAAAAUAAAAUUUCUUUUUCUCAAUGUAUUUUACAAUAGUUAAUCUUGCAAAAAUAAUGGUAUUGUUUGUAGUAUUUCAAGGUGGAAUAUAGGCAACCUUAGUCUUUUAAAUAUAUUAAAUACUGUUAGCUACAAGGCAA